rnacentral:rRNA from 1 species
UUUUAAAUUGAGAGUUUGAUCCUGGCUCAGGACGAACGCUGGCGGCGUGCCUAACACAUGCAAGUCGAGCGAUGAAACUUCCUUCGGGAAGUGGAUUAGCGGCGGACGGGUGAGUAACACGUGGG